GUUUAGGAACUUGGGACGGAAAUCUGAUCAAUUGCUGCCCCCCAUUCAAAUCGUUGAGGUAACACAGGGUAAAAGACUGGCAUGCCUUACGAUUUCGUCGCCCCCUCUUCUUGGUUCGAAUUCCUCCCUACUUUGCUUUCUAGUUUUGCUGGUGCACACCAAGUGUUUGAUACUUGUUCUGCGUGGUUGGUUCAGAAUUUCGUGGGGCCGCACAGAGGAUAGAUGGGGAAGUUUCACAUCUGAUUCUUCUUCGUCCCCUAUGCUUGUUUUAGAUUAGCUUUUGAAGCUGUAUUUAUCAGUGCAAAAAGAUUAACGCUUGUUCCUUUCAGUGGUGCAGAAAGAUCUAUGAUAGGUUACUAGAUCUGGUGGCAAUUGGUUGGUCAGGUGUGGGCGUGCAGUAUGUCAAUCUGGUUCUGCAUAUAGAUGAGUUCAACUGCUUCUUCAUAGACUUGCUUUAUAAAACUGCAUUUUUGACUACUACAGUUGUUUAGUUGUCAUGUUGCUAGCAUUAUACGUCUGAACACCUAGCAUAAUUUCUUUCUUCCUUCGCGUGUUGUUAACCCGUUAUUGCUGUGAUAAUGAAAUCCUCCCAGAAAAGCAACAAAUAAGCUUGGAAGACCAGAAAACACCCUAUUUAUUGCACUCUGAAUUUACAAGGAUUGCAAUGCUCGGUCGAGCUAUUCUUGUAGAUUUUUUUACUCACUUAAAAGGGGACUAUUAUUGAACUCAAUGACUCUACUGGGAUUCAAAAGAAAAUGGCACCCCUGAGUGUGUUUUCAUGAGCCCGUGGUAGCACCCCUGAGUGCUAGCAAUGCAGCUCCAUACGCCGCCUCUGUCUGCUCUGCCUUCCGAACAGGCACCCCAAGCACUCUCUCCCGGAUCGCCGUCCACUUCUCAUUCUGCGCGCCUCCCCCUGCCGUAAAGACCUCCUCCACCGGCGUCGCGCCGAGCUCCUUCAGCAGUUUGUACCCACUGGCCUGCACCCAUAUACAUAUUCAGCAACAUUUCAGUGCCCAGUUAAGUUCGUACAUGCUACUCCUGGUUAUCUAGCGCGCAUGACUUAGUUAAUCACCUCGAUCCGCGCCAUGGACUCCAGUAUGCCAUGCAAGUACUCCGCGUCGCUGUCGGGUCGAGGCUCCAGCCUCGGCUCCAUGUCGGGGUCAGAGACAGGGAACCUCUCGCCACUCUUGGGCAGAGGGUAGUAGUCAAGAGGGGAAGGAGACGACGGGUCGAUGUCCUUGCUCAGCGUCACCAGCUGGUCGUCGCUGAAGAGUUGCCGGAGCACCACACCGCCGCUGUUGGACGCCCCGCCGACGAGCCACUGGUCGUCCAGGCGGUGGCUGUAGACGCCGAACCUUGCGUCUUCCACGCGGACUCUGCUGACGAGCUUGAUCGCGAGUGUUGAACCGAGCGACGUCACCUGAUUGAUCGAUUACAUGGUUCAGUUAGUACUACAUGUAGGUAUAACCAUUGAUUUCUUUAAAGAAGUUGCUGUGCUUAUUAGAUUUCUAUGGCCGAACUAGAACUCACCGCUUUUCCUGCAUCAGUGGUUCGUGCUGCAAGAAAGGCAGCGAUGCUGUCGGUUGUCCCAGUGCAGACCACACAGUCAUUCGAAAAGCCUGGUAAUGCAUAUUUAGUCAGUCUAAGAUGAACUAGUAAUGAUAUUAGAUUAUUCAACUGCAUACCAUAGUACUGAAACAAAAAUAUGUCCCUUAACUUACCAUAUUGUGAGCGCACAUCUUCUUUGAUUGGGCCAAUGGGAACUCCGGGUGCUCUGACAGAAGAAGGCAACAUGUGUGAGUAUGGCUGUGACAUGAGCCAGCUUGGGUAUGAGCCAAUCUCUGGAUCAUACCCUACCUGCAGUAGGAUACAUUGCAGGAAAAUUUAUAAACCCAUUGCCUUCCGUACAUAGAACCUAUGUGAAGAUUUGCAACAAUGUACUCCAGCUACCUUUAGAGUAUUGUUGUAAUCACAAACGCCAUAUUCUCCAUGCAAAAGCCACAGCAGCCAGUCUGAUUGGUGCAUCAGUAUCGCCGAAUCGUUGCUGCCAUUCGAACAAUUCUUGUUCCACCAUGAGACGAGCUUGCAGAGGGUGGACGAACCGGAGCACACGGUGUGGUUCGCAGGAGCAAUCGAGCUGACCAUGGGCAGCGCGUCGGGGAAGCUCUCGUUGUAGAGGAAAGGGCCGGCAAGAAGCUCUCCAUUGUUUCUGCAGCUUGCACAAAAAAGGCACUACAUUGCAUUGGUCAUCCGGUUUUAUCAUCCAAAAAAUUAUUGUACGUGGCUGUAUUCAUGACUCGACGAAAGUCUGCAAACCUAUCAAUGAUGAGAGUGGUUGAUGAAGUCCCAUCAAUGGAGAUGGAUGAGAUUGAUGACCGGUGAACGGGCGGGAUGUCGCCCAGAAGCUGGAAGAGUGCUUCUCUCCACGAGCUUGCCCAGUUAGUGGUUUGUCCAACCUGCCUAGCAAGUCUCCAACCAAAAGGAUGUACGAACAAGCUCAUAAGGAGUGGAAAAAAUCUAACUAAAAAAUGGGUAGAGAGGUGACCAGGCUCUUACAGCAGCUGGGUAAGUUCUUUUGCCUUCGGCGUGGAUGGCCCCUUGCUUGUCAAUAAGAGCGUAUCUGGCGCCGGAGGUUCCGAAGUCUAUCCCAAGGUACAGAGGCCUGCCGGUUUCAUUCCCCUGACGAUCUUGUUGGUUGAGCAUCGUGAUCCUUAUCCUCGACGAAGACGCAAGGUUCCGCACCCUGCCUAACCUCGACAUUGGCAGGAAAAACGUACAUUGAAUCAAGUUUUUCCCUAGAUACUGUUUAGAAACUGAAUUAAUUGGUGCAUACAAAGUGUUGACUUGAUUAAUUACCUUGUUUUGCAGGGAGGCGAGACAGCGGCUUAGCAGAGAGGCUGAGGAUUGGCAUGGUGGGUGGCUCGAUCCCAAGUGCAUUGGUCAAUUGCUGGGGUUGAUUUGGUGAUAGGAAGAGACGAUAGACCUUGGGAAGAAGAGGAGGUGAUGCCUGUUGGGGAAGGAUAAGGAACCUUUGGACACAAGACCACCGUUGUGGCUGUGGGUUAUGGGGCUGGUGUAACUGAACCGACCAGUGCGUCCGUUGUCCUCCCGGUUGUUCUUCCUUGGUAAAUGGAUGAUACAUAUAUAACCUGAAGGGUCGAUAGGUUAGAUCUGUUAUUUUUUCCAGAAACUUUACUGUACUGUGUUAGUGUGACAGCCUUCUGCAAUAGACCCGCAUUCUUUUACUA
rnacentral:lncRNA from 1 species